CCAAUGAUUGUUUUCAUAUAGCUGUAUCCCUUCAUCUUCUAUCUUUGUGUAGCUAUUAGGAUUUCAAAUCUGUUGUCUCCACUUGUCUGUGUAAUUCUCAGUUCUAAGAUGGAGAGAGCAAACUUAACAUGUCAAUGGAGAAAUACAACUUAGCCACAUUACCACAGCACAUUGUUAUAUCCUUAUAAGAAAAGUUAGCUAAUGGAUAAAACACCAUGGGGCACUUUUCCAGAAUUGCCCAUCCAGAAGUCUUCUAGUGCUUUUUGCCAUUAAUGAAUGAACAAGUCCCUUGAGGGGUAGGUAGCAUUAUCUCCAUUUUACAGAUGAUAACCCUGAGGCAUGGAGAGAGUAAUGCCCAAUAUCACGCAGGAAAUGAAUGCCAGGGCUAAGAAGGGUACCCAAGCAUUUGGCUUCCCAUUUCAUCUUUAAAUGUGAGAGAGAUUGCCAGGCUAUGCUUUGAUAUAAACUAACUUUUUGUAUGACAUCACAGCAAAAUUCUAUGACUGUAUGUAAUCCUGUGCUUGUGAACGGCAUUUCUCUUAGGGACCAUCUGGAUGUGAUCAAAAUGAGUCUAUAGGUUUAGCUAAAAGGAACAAACUGUACUGACCCUUGGAGAAAUUUCAAGCUCACUUCCUUCCGUAACUAACAUCAUGGUCGCAGUAUUAACUUCUGGUUCUGCCAAAAAAAAAGAAAAAAAAGAAGUAUAAUAUGCCUAUUUAUGCAUGUGGGAGUUUUAUUUGAACCAGAGAUAUGAUUCAUUCUUUUCUUAAAAAAGCACAAACCCUCCACUGAGGAUUGAAAUUGUCCCCAGGUCUAAUUAUUGCAAUAGAAUCCAAGCUGGAAGAAGGCAGAGAACGGAGCAGAGUGGAGAGCACUUAGCUACCAAAUAGGUGGAAUAGGAUCUGGCUUUUAGUACCUCUUAGAGCAAGUCUGAUCCCUGGUUUUGUUGGAAGACUUCUUGGAUGAAGAAAAGAGAGGGCACUUCCUUAAUCCCUUAUUUGUGUGUCAGCUGUUGAAUCUUCAUGAAGAACCAUCCUUCUAGGGAAGCUGGGGCCCUGGGUGGGGGGGAUGGGGCCCUCCAGGGUGCCUGGGACCCUGGGCG